rnacentral:rRNA from 1 species
AGUGAAGCGGGAAGAGCUCAAAUUUGAAAUCUAGUAGCCUUCGGCUGCUCGAGUUGUAAUCUAGAGAAGUGUUUUCCGUGCCGGCCCAUGUACAAGUCCCUUGGAACAGGGCGUCAUAGAGGGUGAGAAUCCCGUCCUUGACAUGGACCCCCGGUGCUCUGUGAUACACUUUCAACGAGUCGAGUUGUUUGGGAAUGCAGCUCAAAAUGGGUGGUGAAUUCCAUCUAAAGCUAAAUAUUGGCGAGAGACCGAUAGCGAACAAGUACCGUGAGGGAAAGAUGAAAAGCACUUUGGAAAGAGAGUUAAACAGUACGUGAAAUUGUUGAAAGGGAAACGAUUGAAGUCAGUCAUGCUCUUUGGUAUUUAUAUCAUUGAGUGGGGUCAACAUCAGUUUUGAGCGAUGGAUAAAGGCACUAGGAAGGUAGCACUCUCGGGUGAACUUAUAGCCUAGCGUCAUAUACAUUGUUUGGGACUGAGGAACGCAGCAUGCCUUUAUGGCCGGGAUUCGUCCACGUACAUGCUUAGGAUGUUGACAUAAUGGCUUUAAACGACCCGUCU